GGGGUUGUGUCUCAGUGGUAGAGUGCUUGCCUGGCAAACAUGAGUCACUGGGUUUGAUCCUCAACACCA
rnacentral:tRNA from 1 species